CACACCUAAGAGGAGAACUUAGAUCAGCUGGCAGGGUUGGGAGGAACAGAUGAGCCCUAGGUAGUAUCUGGUCCUUCAGGGUAGACCUUCAGAGCGACAGAGCAUCCCCCAGGGUGGAAGGAAAGUUUCUCUCACCAGUCCGCCAUGUUUCCUGUGGUCUUCCAAAGAAAUUUCUUUUGACCUGAAUUGGUUUUUCAUUCUCUUCUCAUUUUUCUCUUUCUCUCCGUCCUCAGGGUCUGACCAGUGGAAAGUAUCUGAAAAAAAGCUAUUCAAUAAGGGCAUUGCCAUCUACAAGAAGGACUUCUUCCUGGUGCAGAAGUUGAUUCAGACCAAAACAGUGGCCCAGUGCGUGGAGUUCUACUAUACCUACAAGAAGCAGGUGAAAAUUGGGCGAAACGGGACCCUGACCUUCGGGGAUAUCGAUGCCACCGAUGAGAAAGUGGGGCAGGAGGAAGUGGAAGUGGACAUUAAGAGUUCUCAGAGGUUGACAAGGGUCCAGCCUCCUAGAAGGGAGGCCCCAAGUGAAGAAUGUGCAGCAGCCAAGAAGGAGGCCAAGAAGGAGAAUGGGGAGGAAGAUGGGAAACAGGAAGAACAAGAAGAAGUUCGGGAGAGGAGUCGGAGGGCAGCAGCUGUCAAAGCUGCCCAG